UACGGGGGGAGCAAGCGUUGUUCGGAUUUACUGGGCGUAAAGGGCGCGUAGGCGGCAAUUCAAGUCAGCUGUGAAAUCUCCGGGCUUAACCGGGGAACUGCGUCUGAUACUGGAUGGCUAGAGGUUGGGAGAGGGAUGCGGAAUUCCAGGUGUAGCGGUGAAAUGCGUAGAUAUCGGAAGGAACAUCAGUGGCGAAAGCGACUUCCUGGACCAAUACUGACGCUCAUGUGCGAAAAGCGUGGGGAGCAAACAGG
rnacentral:rRNA from 1 species